AAUACCGCAUGAGACCUGAGGGUGAAAGCCGGGGACCGCAAGGCCCGGCGCAGACGGAGCGGCCGAUGAUUGAUUAGCUAGUUGGGGAGGUAAAGGCUCACCAAGGCGACGAUCAAUAGCUGGUCUGAGAGGACGACCAGCCACACUGGAACUGAGACACGGUCCAGACUCCUACGGGAGGCAGCAGUGGGGAAUUUUGGACAAUGGGGGCAACCCUGAUCCAGCCAUGCCGCGUGCGGGAAGAAGGCCUUCGGGUUGUAAACCGCUUUUGUCAGGGACGAAAAGCUCCGGAGUAAUAUGCCGGAGUGCUGACGGUACCUGAAGAAUAAGCACCGGCUAACUACGUGCCAGCAGCCGCGGUAAUACGUAGGGUGCAAGCGUUAAUCGGAAUUACUGGGCGUAAAGCGUGCGCAGGCGGUUGGGUAAGACAGAUGUGAAAUCCCCGGGCUUAACCUGGGAACUGCAUUUGUGACUGUCCGACUGGAGUACGUCAGAGGGGGGUGGAAUUCCACGUGUAGCAGUGAAAUGCGUAGAUAUGUGGAAGAACACCGAUGGCGAAGGCAGCCCCCUGGGACGCAACUGACGCUCAUGCACGAAAGCGUGGGGAGCAAACAGGAUUAGAUACCCUGGUAGUCCACGCCCUAAACGAUGUCUGCUGGUUGUUGGGAAUUUAAUUCUCAGUAACGAAGCCAACGCGUGAAGCAGACCGCCUGGGGAGUACGGUCGCAAGAUUAAAACUCAAAGGAAUUGACGGGGACCCGCACAAGCGGUGGAUGAUGUGGAUUAAUUCGAUGCAACGCGAAAAACCUUACCCAGCCUUGACAUGUCAGGAAUGCUUCGGAGAUGAGGCAGUGCCCGCAAGGGAACCUGAG
rnacentral:rRNA from 1 species